AGAGUUUGAUCCUGGCUCAGGACGAACGCUGGCGGCGCGCCUAACACAUGCAAGUCGAACGGAGUUAUUUUCUUCACUCCGAGCUUUUUGCCAGUUAGCCGGAGCGGCAAUCGGUUUUGCCCAGCAUAAAAAGCAAAACCGAUUUAGGCUCAUAAAGUAAGGCUAACACAGAGGGCAGAGAGUUGGGAGUGAAGAAAAUAACUUAGUGGCGAACGGGUGAGUAACGCGUGAGUAACCUGCCCUGGAGUGGGGGACAACAGUUGGAAACGACUGCUAAUACCGCAUAAGCCCACGGCCCGGCAUCGGGCUGCGGGAAAAGGAUUUAUUCGCUUCAGGAUGGACUCGCGUCCAAUUAGCUAGUUGGUGAGGUAACGGCCCACCAAGGCGACGAUUGGUAGCCGGACUGAGAGGUUGAACGGCCACAUUGGGACUGAGACACGGCCCAGACUCCUACGGGAGGCAGCAGUGGGGGAUAUUGCACAAUGGGGGAAACCCUGAUGCAGCGACGCCGCGUGGAGGAAGAAGGUUUUCGGAUUGUAAACUCCUGUCGUUAGGGACGAUAAUGACGGUACCUAACAAGAAAGCACCGGCUAACUACGUGCCAGCAGCCGCGGUAAAACGUAGGGUGCAAGCGUUGUCCGGAAUUACUGGGUGUAAAGGGAGCGCAGGCGGGAAGACAAGUUGGAAGUGAAAUCUAUGGGCUCAACCCAUAAACUGCUUUCAAAACUGUUUUUCUUGAGUAGUGCAGAGGUAGGCGGAAUUCCCGGUGUAGCGGUGGAAUGCGUAGAUAUCGGGAGGAACACCAGUGGCGAAGGCGGCCUACUGGGCACCAACUGACGCUGAGGCUCGAAAGUGUGGGUAGCAAACAGGAUUAGAUACCCUGGUAGUCCACACCGUAAACGAUGAUUACUAGGUGUUGGAGGAUUGACCCCUUCAGUGCCGCAGUUAACACAAUAAGUAAUCCACCUGGGGAGUACGACCGCAAGGUUGAAACUCAAAGGAAUUGACGGGGGCCCGCACAAGCAGUGGAGUAUGUGGUUUAAUUCGA
rnacentral:rRNA from 1 species